UACGAAGGGUGCUAGCGUUGUUCGGAAUUACUGGGCGUAAAGGGCGCGUAGGCGGCGUGUCAAGUCAGGCGUGAAAGCCCCGGGCUCAACCUGGGAACCGCGCUUGAGACUGGCAUGCUCGAGUUCGGGAGAGGAUGGUGGAAUUCCCAGUGUAGAGGUGAAAUUCGUAGAUAUUGGGAAGAACACCGAUGGCGAAGGCAGCCAGCUGGACCGACACUGACGCUGAGGCGCGAAAGCGUGGGGAGCAAACAGG
rnacentral:rRNA from 1 species